AACGAACGCUGGCGGCAUGCCUAACACAUGCAAGUCGAACGAGACCUUCGGGUCUAGUGGCUCACGGGUGCGUAACGCGUGGGAACCUGCCCUUAGGUUCGGAAUAACUCCCCGAAAGGGGUGCUAAUACCGGAUAAUGUCCUCUGACCAAAGAUUUAUCGCCUUUGGAUGGGCCCGCGUUGGUUUAGUUAGUUGGUAGGGUAAAAGCCUACCAAGGCGACGAUCCAUAGCUGGUCUGAGAGGAUGAUCAGCCACACUGGGACUGAGACACGGCCCAGAAUCCUACGGGAGGCAGGAGUGGGGAAUAUUGGAAAAUGGGCGAAAGCAUGAACCAGCAAUGCCGCGUGAGUGAUGAAGGCCUUAGGGUUGUAAAGCUCUUUUAACCGGGAUGAUAAUGACAGUACCGGGAGAAUAAGCUCCGGCUAACUCCGUG
rnacentral:rRNA from 1 species